AUUGAACGCUGGCGGCAUGCUCUACACAUGCAAGUCGAACGGUAACAGGCCGCAAGGUGCUGACGAGUGGCGAACGGGUGAGUAAUGCAUCGGAACGUGCCCAGUCGUGGGGGAUAACUACUCGAAAGAGUAGCUAAUACCGCAUACGAUCUAUGGAUGAAAGCGGGGGACCGUAGGGCCUCGCGCGAUUGGAGCGGCCGAUGUCAGAUUAGGUAGUUGGUGGGGUAAAGGCUCACCAAGCCAACGAUCUGUAGCUGGUCUGAGAGGACGACCAGCCACACUGGGACUGAGACACGGCCCAGACUCCUACGGGAGGCAGCAGUGGGGAAUUUUGGACAAUGGGCGCAAGCCUGAUCCAGCAAUGCCGCGUGCAGGAAGAAGGCCUUCGGGUUGUAAACUGCUUUUGUACGGAACGAAACGGCUCUGGUUAAUACCCGGGGCUAAUGACGGUACCGUAAGAAUAAGCACCGGCUAACUACGUG
rnacentral:rRNA from 1 species